CAAAAAAUGUCAUAGUAUAGUAAGGUGUCAAAAACCAUCAAAAAAUGUCAUAGUAUAGUAAGACAUGAAAAAUGGUCAAAAAAUGUCAUAGUAUAGUAAGGUGUCAAAAACCAUCAAAAAAUGUCAUAGUAUAGUAAGGUGUCAAAAACCAUCAAAAAAUGUCAUAGUAUAGUAAGACAUGAAAAAUGGUCAAAAAAUGUCAUAGUAUAGUAAGGUGUCAAAAACCAUCAAAAAAUGUCAUAGUAUAGUAAGACAUGAAAAAUGGUCAAAAAAUGUCAUAGUAUAGUAAGGUGUCAAAAACCAUCAAAAAAUGUCAUAGUAUAGUAAGACAUGAAAAAUGGUCAAAAAAUGUCAUAGUAUAGUAAGGUUUCAAAAACCAUCAAAAAAUGUCAUAGUAUAGUAAGGUGUCAAAAACCAUCAAAAAAUGUCAUAGUAUAGUAAGGUGUCAAAAACCAUCAAAAAAUGUCAUUGUAUAGUAAGACAUGAAAAAUGGUCAAAAAUUGUCAUAGUAUAGUAAUGUGUCAAAAAUUGUCAAAAAAUAUCAUAGUAUAGUAAGACAUGAAAAAUGGUCAAAAAUUGUCAUAGUAUAGUAAGGUGUCAAAAAUGGUCAAAAAAUGUCAUAGUGUAGUAAGGUGUCAAAAAAUGUCAUAGUAUAGUAUGGUGUCAAAAAUGGUCAAAAAAUGUCAUAGUAUAGUAAGGCGUCAAAAAAUGUCAUAGUAUAAUUAAGUGUCAAAAAUGUCAAAAAACGUCAUAGUAUAGUAAGGUGUCAAAAAUCAACAAAAAAUGUCAUAGUAUAGUAAGGUGUCAAAAAUGGUCAAAAAAUGUCAUAGUAUAGUAAGGUGUCAAAAA